CGGCAUCUCUUCUCGCUCGCUCUUUUCAUUUCUCUUCUUCUCCGCCGACGUCUCGAGAGAAGAAAAGGAGCGAAAAGCGAGCGCCGAAAAGCUCUCCACGAUAGAGACCCAAAGCGAAGCAGGAGCAUCGUGCGUUGAUUCCCAUCUUGUGCUUGACGACAUCGCUAGAUCGCCUUCUUCUCCGCCAUUGAAACCAGCUGAGGGUUUUUUAUUUCUGAACUGGUAGAUUGAAAACUACAGAGGCAACAAAGUCAUGGACAUUAGUGGUAGAGGUGGAGGUUCUGAGGCCGCGGAGAACGUGAAGUUAAAUGGAGCUGGGGGAAGUGCCUCUCCGAAGCGCAUCCCUCCUUGCUGUCAGAAAGCUAUGGCUUCCUUGCCAGAAUCGGAAGCCAAGUGCCAUGCCACUGUGGUUUCCGGGUGGUUCUCUCAGUAUAAAGAGGGCAAGCCAUUGUAUUACAACAACCCAAUGUGGCCUGGAGAAGCUCAUUCUCUGAAAGUGGAAAAGAUUUUAUUCCAAGGAAAGUCAGACUACCAAGAGAUCUUGGUCUUUGAGUCUACAGUUUAUGGUAAAGUUCUUGUGCUCGAUGGAAUUAUCCAGUUGACUGAAGCAGAUGAGUGUGCAUAUCAAGAAAUGAUUGCUCACCUUCCUCUUUGUUCAAUCCCAUCCCCCAAAACUGUUUUGGUGAUAGGAGGUGGUGAUGGUGGUGUGGUUCGAGAAAUUUCACGGCACAGUUCCGUGGAGACAAUUGAUAUAUGUGAGAUAGACAAAUUAGUUAUUGAUGUCUGUAAGCAAUUCUUUCCAGAUUUAUCUGUUGGAUUUGAGGAUCCUCGAGUUCGACUUCAUGUUGAUGAUGCUGUGGAAUUUUUAAGGAAUGCUUCUGAAGGGGCAUAUGAUGCCAUCAUUGUUGAUUCAUCUGAUCCAAUAGGGCCAGCUCAAGAGCUUGUUGAAAAGCCAUUCUUUGAGACAAUAGCGAGGGCAUUGAGGCCAGGUGGUGUUCUAUGUAACCAAGCAGAGAGCAUGUGGCUUCACACACAUCUUAUUCAGGACAUGCUCUCUAUCUGUCAUGAAGUCUUUAAAGGUUCUGUGCGUUAUGCCUGGACAAGUGUGCCAACAUACCCUAGGGUUGGAUGCCUUCAUUUGACUGGCCUUUGGCAGUGGUGUCAUUGGAUUUAUACUGUGCUCAAAGGAUGGAUCACCUGUUGAUUUUGUGAAUCCUGUAAACCCAAUUGAGAAGAUUAAAGGAACAACGCUCAAGUCCAAGAAGGAACUCCAUUUUUAUAAUUCAGAGGUACACAAGGCUGCAUUUGCAUUGCCCUCUUUUGCAAAGAGGGAGCUGAGGACCUUAACAAGGGCAACAACCAUGUUGGGGGCUGCUUUGACUUCAUAAUUUGCUGUUUAGGACUAGAUCUAAAACCCUAGAUUGUUUUCUUUCGGGAGGAUAUCACCUUGUUCAGAUGAAUUCCUGUCCAUAAAAAAUCCUUUGGAGGAUACCACGGAAGUAUUGUUACUCUUAAUGGCGUAGGAGAAGCUAAUACAUCAUAAUCUGAAUAAAUGUAUACUAUUGCAUAUUUUAUUUUACUUUUACUGUAUGUUGUAGUAAAUAACACUUGGAACAAAUUGUUACUGAAUGGCAUCCUCCAGGACUUAAGGUUUU